CUACAAAGGAAUUGACGGGGCCGCACAAGCGGUGGAGCAUGUGGUUAAUUCGACGCAACGCGAAGAACCUUACCAGGGCUUGACAUCCCCUGACCGCGUAUGAAAGUACGUUUUCACCUCGGGUGACAGGGAGACAGGUGGUGCAUGGUUGUCGUCAGCUCGUGUCGUGAGAUGUUGGGUUAAGUCCCGCAACGAGCGCAACCCCUACGUUUAGUUGCUAACGCGUGAAGGCGAGCACUCUAGACGAACUGCCGUUGACAAAACGGAGGAAGGUGGGAUGACGUCAAAUCAUCAUGCCCCUUAUGUUCUGGGCUACACACGUGCUACAAUGGCCGGUACAGACGGACGCAAAGCCGCGAGGUGGAGCAAAUCCUAAAAAGCCGGUCUCAGUUCGGAUUGCAGGCUGCAAUUCGCCUGCAUGAAGUCGGAAUCGCUAGUAAUCGCAGGUCAGCAUACUGCGGUGAAUACGUUCCCGGGCCUU
rnacentral:rRNA from 1 species